rnacentral:rRNA from 1 species
GAUGAACGCUGGCGGCGUGCCUAAUACAUGCAAGUCGAGCGAACAGAUAAGGAGCUUGCUCCUCUGACGUUAGCGGCGGACGGGUGAGUAACACGUGGGUAACCUACCUAUAAGACUGGGAUAACUUCGGGAAACCGGAGCUAAUACCGGAUAAUAUUUCGAACCGCAUGGUUCGAUAGUGAAAGAUGGUUUUGCUAUCACUUAUAGAUGGACCCGCGCCGUAUUAGCUAGUUGGUAAGGUAACGGCUUACCAAGGCGACGAUACGUAGCCGACCUGAGAGGGUGAUCGGCCACACUGGAACUGAGACACGGUCCAGACUCCUACGGGAGGCAGCAGUAGGGAAUCUUCCGCAAUGGGCGAAAGCCUGACGGAGCAACGCCGCGUGAGUGAUGAAGGUCUUCGGAUCGUAAAACUCUGUUAUUAGGGAAGAACAUACGUGUAAGUAACUGUGCACGUCUUGACGGUACCUAAUCAGAAAGCCACGGCUAACUACGUG